rnacentral:rRNA from 1 species
GGGGUGCUCGAGUGGCGAACGGGUGAGUAACACGUGGGUAACCUGCCCUUGACUUUGGGAUAACUUCAGGAAACUGGGGCUAAUACCGGAUAGGAGCUCCUGCUGCAUGGUGGGGGUUGGAAAGUUUCGGCGGUUGGGGAUGGACUCGCGGCUUAUCAGCUUGUUGGUGGGGUAGUGGCUUACCAAGGCUUUGACGGGUAGCCGGCCUGAGAGGGUGACCGGCCACAUUGGGACUGAGAUACGGCCCAG